GAUGAACGCUGGCGGCGUGCCUAAUACAUGCAAGUCGAGCGAACAGAUGAGGAGCUUGCUCCUCUGACGUUAGCGGCGGACGGGUGAGUAACACGUGGAUAACCUACCUAUAAGACUGGGAUAACUUCGGGAAACCGGAGCUAAUACCGGAUAAUAUAUUGAACCGCAUGGUUCAAUAGUGAAAGACGGUUUUGCUGUCACUUAUAGAUGGAUCCGCGCCGCAUUAGCUAGUUGGUAAGGUAACGGCUUACCAAGGCAACGAUGCGUAGCCGACCUGAGAGGGUGACCGCCCACACUGAAACUGAGCCAGGGUCAAGCCUCCGCCGGGAGGAAGAAGUGGGGAUUCUUCCGAAAUGGGCGAAAGCCUGACGGAGCAACGCCGCGGGAGUGAUGAAGGUCUUCGGAUCGAAAACCGUUUUUAUUGGGGAAAAACAAAGGUUUAAGUAAUUAUGCACUUCUGGACGUUACCUAAUCAGAAAGCCACGGAAAACUCCGUC
rnacentral:rRNA from 1 species